AAAUGCCCCUCCAAACAGCCUGAUUAACACCUUCGUUCUUUUUUAAAGAACUUCACCUGACUCAUGCUGCCCGCUUUAUGAGCUAUGUAAAUGAACUGUUGACAUUUUGAUCUAUAGGAUAUAUAAUCCUCACCACAAGGUCGGCCUUGAAUUUGGGAGGAGAAAGGAAAACUUGUGUUAUAAUGCUGCAAUUUCUGGUGGAGUACAGCUGAUCCUGCUUUGAACCAUGCCGGAGAGUUCUCGUGUCAUUUAUUCCCUUCAUUUUGGGGUCGAGUUUUAGCACUCGGGGGAGCUAAGGGGAGAAAGAAAAAAAACCCCAACCCAGAAUUAGCAGGGUUUCAAACAGAAUUUGUUGUGUAGAAUUACUAUAGAAAUGUCCAGAUUUCUGAGUGACUCCAUGCUUCGGGGUGAGGUGCUCGGGACUGGCAAAAUCCUCAAAUUGUCCAAGAACAACUUCAUUUUAGGGAUGUGGUUUGCAGACAUAAAGGCUGAGAUUUAUGAAGAUUUCAUAUGAAUACUACAUCAUAUUGACACUAAUUAUUUCAUCGUGGUUAUUAAUUACAAACUAGCUGUGAAAGCCAGCUUUUGGAAGCGUGGCAUCUCUACUGUUUCCAAGGCACUCUUUGCAAGAGCAAGGCUUUGUUUCUAGCAAUCUGUAAUUCGCUGUUUACCCCUAAAUUUUUUUGUCAUUUCUAUUUGAAUGCUGUUCCCUUUGCUGCUUUGGCUUCUCGAAAGUGGGGUGGGGGGGGAUGUUCUUCAGCAGCCAGUGAUUUAUGGAUAGGUGAGUGGACGCAUGUGUUCAGCAAGCGAUCUGGGGAUUCCUGCUAACGGAAAAGCAGAUGAGAAAGUCAGAGGUGACAUCCAUUUCUCAGAACCUUGGCACGUCGGACGACUCAGUGGCACUUGUACAUAGACGGGAACUGGUUUUGAAUUCCUUUUGUAAACCUAACUGCUUUGAUGCUCAGUUAUGGCAGCAAUGUCAACAUUUCUUAGCAAUCCUUUUUGCUUUUCACUUUUUCAUUUGGGGAAAGGAUUUUAUGAGAAACCUAAUCAAGCUGGCAGUACAGCCCAGUGUUUCGAAUUAUGUACGCAAUCGCCCUUCCUGCCUUUUUCCGAGAUACCAGCUCAACUGCUGCUGGAACAGUGAAGCUCACCUGGAGCCAGGAGCAGGGAGAAUUCCCAAAACAGUAUCAAGCCUCACUGCUGGCGACUGUGUGAGCUGAACCUCUGACUUCCCAUCACCUACACUGCAGGAUCCGAACCCGAGAUAUUCAGCAUCCAGAAGAGACGUAACAGCUAUGAUGCUCAGUCCAAGCUGAGGAAAGCUCCACGUACCGGUUUGAGAACUGAUUUGGAAGCUGGACGACCUCCGUGAUGGCUUCAGGAUUUCGUUUCGCAAUGCCGCACAUGUCCAGUUUGCUGUAGCACUCCUCUUGCACUUCGGAGAUCAUUCUUUGGAAUGUGGAGCACCUCCGGAUGGCAAGGAACACCUUGGACGUAACCCCAUUUGCAAUGCAUUUCAAGCUUUCUUUCACAAAAGCUUUUCCCUGGAAAGAGAAGAAAAACCUUAAACUGCAACAGAUUUCAUAGAAAGGGACGUAUUAACAGAUACUCCGCUGUGGCUGGCUGCUGUUAAUUACCCUUGCUACAAUUACAGACCUGCUGGAGAUCCCUUACCAAGUACGGCAGGGAAUUGGACCCUAAAUGCUCGCAAUUAUUGCAUAGUUAUCAUUCAUAGCAGUUUCAGUUGAGAUGUACACAGUCCAGUGAGAACAGCGAGCUCCUGGUCCCAAAAGAUUUAGGCAAUGGAAGCCUUUGCGUGAACAGACCUAAAGUGCCAGCACCAGACAUGGGCCAAUUCUGCCCUCCGGGAGAGGGCCGGACCACUCACUGCAUACCAGCGAUUUAAUACAUCUGGUUCACCAGACCUCAAGAUGCUUUAAGAGCUUUUAAGUUUGUCCUUAGGAGCAAGAGCACAGGGAACAAGGGGGCGUGCGCGUUUUGGGAAGAAAGUACGAGGGAAAAGGGCCCUUGGCAGAGCCACAGUCCUCUGAUAUUAUCCUAUUUAUUCUGUUGCGAGCAACUGAAGCUCCGGAGAGGCUGAUCUGGCCGUGCAUUCCCAGGCCCGAAGACUUCCAAUUCAAAUCCCAGCCCUGUGCCAGGUCACACAGUCAGAAGACUUACUUUGUUAGAAGAACGUUUAUAUUUCCUCCUGAAGAGGAAACUUAGCUCUCCGCCCCACAAAACACUCCUUGCCAAGUCCUCACACAUAGCAUACAGUAUGUGGAAAAUGUACUGUAGAAAAUAGCCCUGAAGGAUGCAUUCGUAGCCAAAAAUCAAAAUCAUGGUUCAGAGGAGUACCUAAGCAGCAGGAAGGGCUGCAAGAAAGGAAGGGUUAAGCCUGCACAGACCCCAUCUCCAUGAGGACAGAGAAAUUAAGGCAUCCAUUCAGCAAAGUAUUUAAGCACGUGCUUUAGUGCCGCAGGACUUGUAAAAGCACUUUAUUGAAUUGGGGCAUGAAAAGGGAGCUCUAAAGGUGAGGUAUUAUUCUCGUCCCCUUUAUACUCGUACUGUACCUGAGUGUCAAAUUUAGCAGCACUGUACAGGAAGGACUUGCAGAUGUCGUACAUGCCAUCCGUGUCGCACGUGGAGUUCUCCAGACAGGCGAAGGCCCCGCAGCCCACCUGGAGGGCACUGUUCAGACAGCGAACCACCUCGGCUGCAGAGAGAGGCACAGGCGCAACAUUACAGACGCACCGCUCCCCGAUGCCCAGCGCCAUGAAGUCCUUCUCCAGCGCAAAGGCAAGUCAUGCUCAACUGCAAUCAAGCAGUAGCCUUAUUGCUUUUCAGGACUGGAGCGAAAGGUAACAAAGACAGGCCAAAGGCACUGCCAAAGGGAGUUAUACGCUGAAGUCAUGCAGCAGAUCACCAGCCAAUCGAGGAACAGAAACUGCAACUACCGAAACCUUCAACUGGUUACAUAUGGAUUAAAAGAGAGGCAACACCUGGUAGGCUUUGGCUAGAUGGAGACUUACGGGUCCGUCCCAACCUCAUUCUGAUUGCAUGCGUUUACAGCUUUAUUCAGAGCUCCUCUAAAGAAGGCAGAAGUUAAUGAGGAUGGGCCCAUGAAGAGCACUGGGCGGUGAGGUCUUCUGCACGGUCUUAGACCGAGGGGAGGUCAGAGCAGCUUGGCAGCAUCUGGCUCACAAACCUCCUUUGAAAAUGAGACUGAAGUGUUGGCGAUUGCCAAUAAGCUGGCAUGAAAUGUGCACUUAUUGCGAGGAAGCGCUGGUUUUGCUAGCAUUGGAGGUAUCUGUGCUUUUCUAAAAAGUGUAAAGUAUCGAGAAAUAAGAUUUUAGUUUGCGUGUCAAUUAUCAGUACUACAAAGGACUUGAACGAGCAGCUUGGUGCUAAAUACUAACCUGGUACCCAGCAGUUUGCAAGCAUAGCCAAGAGAGGUCAUAUUGCUGAAGAUUUGCAAAGAGAAGGGACAUUUGGACAGAGAAAGUUAAGGUAAUGGAGCUGACCAUGUAUAAUUAAAAUCGUUGAGGCAGUAGUUAGUCUCAACAGGAGGGUAUCCAUGUCAUCCCAUCUUUUUUAGUGCAGAUACUAUGCAUUUUAACAAUGAAUCAGCAGUAUUGCCACAUGAUUGCCCUGAAAUUAGUAGGGAUUAACCUUUUUUGGUAAGCUGAACAUCUGUCCCCUUAUGCGUCUGUGCAAGGCAUAUUCAUUACUUUUGCAGAUCAUGUUACGAGACAUUCUUUAGGAAGAAAUGCAAAGCCGGUGUCUCCCAUCAAGAUCCUAGGUGUGGGAAAAGUGAGGAUUUGCAUUUAGUGGAAGAGAACACACCUUAUUAAGAGCUAAGUUGUAGCCUAAAGACGUAUCUAUAUAACUAAGAUCUCUACAGAAAAGAGGAGAAAAAAAAAUACUUUAAAAAAUCACCCAAUUAACCCCUCCUCAUUCUCCGCUCCUGCUUACGUGCCUGAAGGGAGAAAUAUUUGGUAAGAUCAUCCUCUCCCCAGUUCAUAACCUCACCAUCGCACAAGUCAUUCCCAUAAUUAUGCUUCCACAGGUUCAAAUUAUAACUUUGCUUUCAGUAGACUUAGUAUGCAUUAAGCUUUUAUUGUUUUAGGCACGGUGCAAUAGUGAGACCCUAUGUUUCUAUAGCAACCAAAUACAAAAGGAAAUUGAGCAAACACCCUAGUAUAAUGCUGCAGAGCCUUGCAGAUCUAAAAUAAGACAUCUGUUAAUGAGGUCCAAAUUAGAGACCUAAUAUCUUUUCAGUAUACUAGAAGACAGAUUUUUAAUUUCCAUUGUUCCAGACAAUGUGUCCAACUUAUCUAAGCAUCUAUAGUGCACAAAGUAGAGACAUCCAGACCUGACUUGCCAGCAAUUUUUUUAUCCAUUGUAAAAGCAAGUUUGCUAAAUGUCACAAUCGUAUUUUUAUGGCACCAUCUAACUGAUAGCAAUCAGUUUUUGAAAAUAAAUGCUAGCAGUGGACAGUUUCUAGGUUACCGCAUUCUUCAAAGUCGCAUAUCUCUCUCCCCCUCUUUGAAUAGACAGAUGUUUGGCAGAACAAUGGUUCAGACAAAUUUCCACGGAUUUUAUCAACUUCCUAAAAAGCAAGGAAUUUAACACCAAAGUAUGAUUGCAAUUGGAGAAGAGAUAAAGAUACAUGCAAGCAGGGGAAAAAAAAGUACACGGAACUCAUUUAGUAGAUGGGGAGGAGGAAAGAGAAUGGAUUGCAUCCUGCAAGCAGAUCACACACCGGUUCCCUGACCCAGCUCCUGAAAGGAGAUGAUUUCUUCUCCAGCUAUGCACCAAUAUCCUCCUGAAUCAGACCCUUAAAUCAAUAUUUGUUCCUACCAGCCAUUAAGUUUAUAAGCAAAAAAAAAAAAGAAAAAAAAAAGAAAAAAAAAAAGAAAAA